GAGGGAUCAUUCGAUACUGUUGAGUUAGAGGACAGCAGGGGGAGGUGGAAUUCCCGGUGUAGUGGUGAAAUGCGUAGAUAUCGGGAGGAACACCAGUGGCGAAGGCGGCCUCCUGGGCUGUUUCUGACGCUGAGGCCCGAAAGCGCCAGGUCCAUCUCGAACUUGCGCGGCGCUACCGCAAGAUUCUCGGCGGCAUUUCGGAUCAUGCUCCGUCCGGUCAGGCCCGCUGACCGGAGCGGGCCGGGCCGUUCCGAAACAGAGCGAC
rnacentral:rRNA from 1 species